UACAGAGGUCCCAAGCGUUGUUCGGAUUCACUGGGCGUAAAGGGUGCGUAGGUGGUGAGGUAAGUCGGAUGUGAAAGCUCGGAGCUCAACUCCGAAAUGGCAUUGGAAACUACCUUGCUCGAGGGAUGGAGGGGGGACUGGAAUUCUCGGUGUAGCAGUGAAAUGCGUAGAUAUCGUAAGGAAGACCAGUGGCGAAGGCGAAUCUCUGGACAGUUACUGACACUGAGGCACGAAGGCCAGGGGAGCAAACGGG
rnacentral:rRNA from 1 species